GCAAUACAGUUACUGGAGCUGAAGGCAUUAUCCAGUGGCGGACAUGACUCUAAGCUGCUAUCAACGGCCAGUAGCUCCAGAAGUAUGGGUGCAUUGCCUGGGAAGAAAAGCUCUUGAUGAUGCACCACAGCAUAUAUUCUAGACCUUACAGCUCCGAGAGCCUGCAUUUUAUCAUUUAGACAUGGAACAUCAGAGAAUUCUAUAAUACAAGAAAGAGAGAGAGCGUGUGCGCAAGUAGGGGAGGGGCAGAGGGAGA